CUGGCCUUGAACACCUCCAGGGAUGGGGCAGCCACAGCUUCUCUGGGCAACCUGUGCCAGUGCCUCACUACCCUCUGAGUGAAGACUUUCCUCCUGAGUUUAGGCACUCUGGUGUAAAAGAUUUAUUGUCAUAGUCAAGAUGCCCGAUCAUACCAUAGGAAACCCACUAUUGGGUAUGGCAUUAAAGUACUACAUAAAAUAAAUACUGAUCACGAUCUUGUUUCCAAAGUCAAUACGCUUCAUUUCCACACAAGUGAAUUCUCCUUUUUCAGAGUCACAAAGAUUUCUAGAAAGUGGUAACAAAUGAAAGUGGGCAUGCUUCUCCCCGCCAUUCUUUAUCCAUAGUGAAAUAAGAAGAAAAUAGACAGUGUAAUUCAACUCCAACAGGCCAUUUCAUGAGUAAAUUUCUGUUACUUUUUUAAGGAGAGCAGGAUGCUUACUGUAGACAUUAACAUUUUGCUAUCCAGAAUUCUUUUCAUCUCAUAGCUAUUACCAGGCAGUGGCAUUGUUAAAGCCCAAAAGAUAAUGAAGAUUUAAGCCCAUUCGAUUAGCUUCAAAACAUUUGCUAUUAAAAAAAAUUAAAAACCUCAGCUAAUACAGUUAAUCAGAUGAAUGCUAGAAACAAUUUGCAUGUUCAUAUUAAUAUAUGAAUAUGAAGAAAAAUAUUAGACAAUUUCAGCAACACAGUUAUAUAUUCCAAUUUCUACUGUGAUCUUCAAAGUAAUAAAUGAUCAAGCAGUUGAGAAUCACACCCUUUGACAAACUAUAAUACUCCAUGCUAUAUGAAUUUACAGGCAUUGUCAUUAUUUCCUAAGAUCCUACUUUUAAGCAUCACCAACAGGUUAAGGGUUGGCAUUGGAGUUUCUGAUGAUACUCAGACUUGCACCUUCACUCCCUGCAUGUAAGUAGGUUCCCACCUGUAUGAGGGACUGCUCACACCUGUACAUACAACUCUGCUCAGCCAGCAAUUGUUGUUCCUUCUUUGCUUCUGCCACACCUCUAAUUUCAUUGAAAGAUGAAAUUAUGAUCUUCCUUAUUUGCUUUCAUGUUCUGUAGUCAGCUGGUAGUUAACUACCAGCAACUUCUCCAUAUUUGCUCCACAUGACUUUUAGUGCUUGUACAGAAACGAUAGCAUUCCAUUUAUGCUCCUUUCCUUCCUCUAUACUCUUCCUUUUCACUGAGUUUAUUCUCUCUUGGGGUUUUAGUUGCUCAUUCAAGAUUAUAAGAGUUAUUAAUCACUUCGUAUGAGUCACAGGAAAUUAAUUUCUUUUUCUAUUCACUUACCUCAGUGAGUGAACCAUUGGAGAAGUUGUGUUAAAGCCUUCAGAGGAAAUCAACAUCACUGUGUUGGUGGAGUAUCACAAUCUUGGCCACUACUAGAGUAAGGACAUUCAGAUUGCAAUACAAUACGACAGUGCUCCUUUAUCUGUCUGCUGGGAAAAGGCCUGAUAUUGGUAGGAAAAAUUUAUUCUACAAACCCAAUGAAAAUACUCUUCCAAAGACAAAAUCUUCAAUAAUCUGUGUUCAAACUGUGUGUUUCUUAGCUACGAACAGAAAACAGGAGGAUGACCUCCAUCUAUUUCGAAGUGCCUGCUUUAAUCCUGCUUACAUUCUCCCCUCCCUUUCUUUCAACACCAGACGUUUGUUACCUGUAUGGUUUGUCAGCAUUCCUUUAUGGAGGUUUGCUAAUGCAUCAGGCUUUGCUGACAGAUUACUUGCAAUUAGAUUAGCUGAGGUUCUCACCUUGACAAUACUGGUAGUGGUUGUAGGGAUUUUUGCAUGGCAAAGGAGCCUUUGUUUUAGGUACUUUCUUCUCACGAAAUUCUCCAGAGUUUCAUUAUGAAAAUCACUUUUUCUGUAGCCCCAUUCCUCUGUGUGUUUGCAUUUCUAAGGAAGACCUCAAAUGUAACACCUCUCUUUUAUAUGUUUAAAUCAUUCCUCAUUAAAUGACAUUUCUCCCAGGGUAAACCCUUCACAUGUUCCUCCCUCCACUCACCUGUCCAGGAGAUUCUGCACUCCUUUCUCCUUUCCUGACCAUCACGUUGCUUGGCUAAACAAACUGAACCCUUUAUCUCUUGUAGGAGAGAGCAUACAUCUCCCUAACUAUUCCAGCUGCCCCUCUCUGCUCUUAUUUGUUUAAUCUUUCAUGAGCGUAACAUGCUACAAUUUUGUGCCAUAAUUACUAUUGAAAAUGUUUGCUCCUAAGUCUGAUUUGUCGUUAAUCUCCCUUUCACUUGAUGUAUUGCUUUUCUGCAUGUGCUGCAGUAAUUGCGGAACCCUUAUCCACCUUUCAGUUCUUCUGUUAAAUGCUACUCUCUCCUCCUUAACUAAUAUUCCCUGUAUGGAAUUGCACCAAAUCCAUUUGGCAUCCAGGCAAAGUUGAUUGCAGUUUCUUGUAUUUAAUGUAAGCCCAUUUUACAUUCACUUUUCAUUUUUGGAGUUUGCUUUGGUUAAGAGGGUAUUCAAACCAAAGACAUUCUGAGUUGCACAGGACCAGGGAAUUUAUCGUAACAGAGUUUGUCCCAAGGGAAAUGGAAAUGGAAAUGUUUCUGCUGUGUGACAACUAUUUCUGUAGCUUCUGGGCCAAUGACCCAUUAUGUCUCUACAGAAAAUGGCUUCUGUGAAUAUGCCUUUGGCUAGAUGGAUAGUACACAGUACGUGGGGCUGAGAAGGGCAGAGUCACUCUGGAAAUCAAUAGGAAACAGAACAGCCUGUGCUAGGCAUUUUGCUCCCCAUCAUAUCCCUGCUGGGAAACAGAGCAGGUGCAGGAUAAGGAGAGAUGAUCGUAUUAUUCCCAGGGGUUUGGAUAUGAAUUCACUCUCCUUGCUGCCUCCCUCUUCCCACAGCAAGUACAUAAUGUGAAGAGUUUUUGCUUCAGUUUCAGAUGUAAAUCAUAUUUUUAUCUUUUUUUUUUUUCUUUAAACUUAAUCUGCUUUAACAUUUUCAUGCUGGACAGUAGAGAAAUCCACUGAAAUGUAUUAAGUUCAAAGACAUGCCACAGACACAUUUCACUUCUUCUGUAUCUUUGCAAUGAUAUAGAAGGCAUGUAUAUCACUCUUGUCAAGUCUUAAGACUUAAAACAUUGGUGAAAUGACUGCUUAAGUCACUCCUGCAGGCCUUAGAAACCAGCCUUGUACCUGUUUAUUUCUUUCUCUGAAGAGAGGGAUUCCUCCUACAUCCGUGUACUGAUGUUCAAGAGAACAUUACAGAAGAGCCGGUGAAGGGAUGUUAUUCAUUUAUCAAGUUUGGCAGACACUGCUGCAUUAGAUCAUAUUCUGAAAGUUUUCCUUGUGCCAGAAAGGCCAGGCUCAAUUUAGGUGAGCUGUAAUCUAUGCAGAAACUGGCUAAGGUAAACGCAGUUACCUCAUCAGCACGUAGGCCCUCACUGAUACUCUGAGGCUACAAUUUUGCUUCAGAGGGCAAAUAAUUAAAAAUAGGAAUUUAAAGCAGGACUCCUUGAGCUUUGACUUUGGUGGCCAGCUGGGCAUAAUUUAUUUCAGAGAAAGCAGAGCUUUUAGUAAUUUUUUCGAGGAAAAAAAAAAAAAGCCACCAGGGUCUUCUAAAACCUGAGCAUCACCUAAAAUACAUGGGCUGUUAGAAGUGCUUUGGUUACACGGAUCAGUUCACUCAGUCACAUCAAUUAACAAGUCUCCUGGGGAAGUUGGGGGGAAUUAUUGGAACAAGCCAUCUGCAGUGUUUUUGAAUCUGGCUAUGCUGACAUCAAAUUAUUCCUUAAUAUUUAAAAUAUUAGUUAUAUUUUAAUGGAAGUCUGAAAAGCACUGAAAUUGCUUCCAUGAUGAGUGCAGUUUUACAUAGUUUAUCAAACCCUAGUUAUUGAAAAUAAUAUGACUGUAAAUAGGAACUGAAACAUGCCUCAAUAAUCACUAGGAGAAAGCUGGGAACAACUGAUACAAUAUAAACUAGCCAUGAAAGGGAAAUGUAUUGCCUACACAGUGUUAUGCUUGCUGAAGGGCCACACAGUACACCAUGACCACAUGCUUGAAAACUCUGGUGACUCAUACAGAACAGGCCGAUGAAUAAGACCAUCUUCCUUCAUCAGUGUACAACACUGACCAGAAAUUUACCCAAUAAAUGGUUCCAUUGUGAGCAGCAAUUUACCAUGCCCCAAAUCCUUAUAAUUAACUACAUAACCAUAAAAAAUGUUACUGCCAGGUUUAUAAUGCAUCAGUGCAGAAAGCGCUCUAAAUACCUUUAAAGGACGGUUCACACAUUUGUUGUUUCCCAUCCCACUCAUUUUACAGCCAAAGGAGGCUGGAAUGCUGUGUUACUGGCAUUCCCAUUAAUUUGAUUUACCUUCUUUCCCUUUGAAUUUUUGCUUCUGAAGUCUAUCGGGUAGUGCCUUAUAACAAAGUUCAUACUGUAAAUAAGCGAGAUUGCUUUUCUAAUUUACAUAUAAAUUCAUAAAAGAACUAAAAGUUGAAAUGACAUUGUUAAUUACAGACGAAAUUGAACACUGGGAUCUAAGUGGCAGUUAGAUAAUACCUAUGAAUUACAGACUCAAGACACUAAGUAAUAAGCUUCUUUGCUGCUUUUAAAGUACCAGCGUGAACCUUGUGAUUCAAAAGCCUGAGAAAAAUCUUCCUGAGAUGGAAAAAUGCCCUGUCCAAGGGCUACUCUUCAGCCACAUUCUCCCAGCAUCAGCCUAUUUGACUCAGUUCUACGACCACUGGAUAGGAGCACUGCAGAAGCAGCAGCAGAGGAGCAUAGCAAAUUAAUUAAUUUUUACUAUCUCUUCCCAAUUAAAAUUGCUCUGUAAUGUCCUAUGGCGGAGUUGAUUUUUUCUUUGAAGUGAGCCAAAUUUUCCUUUAACACAAAUUAGCACCUGUGGCUAUUUACUCACAUCAUAGUCAGCUUAGUAUUUUGGUCUGUUUUUCACGGUAAAAAAUUUUCACAAGGCCUGAGGAAACUGGAGGUUUUCCAAACAUGAGAUUAAAAAUGAAAUAUUUUGGUAAAUAUAAGAGACAUUCAGAAGACAUUUUCUUACAUAUUCAUUGGAACUUAGUUUCCAUUUUGUCUUUCAGUCUCACGAUUUCGGUCAAGUAAGAGCUUUCUACCUAAAUAUUUAUAGUUCCUACAGCUACUAGUGUCAGGACUGCUUUGCUGUGGCUUUUUACAGAAUAUUUACGCGUGUCAUACCACCUAUUUUCUAUAUGACACUCCAGAAUAAUGAAAUCAAUUGGAAAGCAAUCAAGGCAGUCAAUUAAUCCCUUUUGAAAUUUGCAAUUCACGGAUUUUGCCCUCUAAUAUAGCCUUGACUACAGAAUCUGUUUUGCAGAACAGAUCCCCCUGCUCAAUAAAUAAAUAAAUAAAUAAACAAACAAAUAAAUCUAGACUUCUAUUUACUCAAAUAAUUCUACACAUUAAAAUAUGAAACUUUUCCAGAUCCCUUUAAAAACAACCAAUCAAUCAUCACAUCAAUCAUCACAUGAAAAUUUUUCCUGGCAGGGAUUUGUUAUGAAGUCGGAGCUAAAAUUUGUCAACAAGAAGUUCUUUAAUAAUGAGAUAUGAAUAGUGACCUGAAUUUCUCAUGUUUCUGAAACUUGCAUUUUGCCCGUUGAUGUGUUUUGGCUCAGCUGAUGAAAGUCAUCACAGCCGAUUCUGCCGCUGAAUCAUAUCAGUGGAUCCUUUGGAGGCGGUGGUGUGAACAGACCAUUGCUGAAUGACAGUAAUUUUUGACAGGCAUGGGGGCUGUUGGAAACUCUUGCCAGUCAUGGUCCAUCAAAGUAGCUUCAGGGCUCCUCCAGUUUAUGCUAAGUGCUAAUUGCCUCCUGGCAGUCCCAGCAGCCAAGCAAUGCACACAGCCAUUCUUGCUGUCUCCUGCCCUUUCAGGCUCUGCUGAGAACACACCUGAGCCAGCCCUAAGGAUGAGAACCUGAGUACACCAGAACAAAAAAUCACUGUGCUUCCCCCUUCAAAAUGUAAGGAACUAGAUUCAGUGUGUAUUUCAUUUGUACCAGUAAGACAACACAGGCUGCCAUAAGAAACAAAGAUGUUGUCUUUAGAGCAUUUACGUGGCUUCUAAAACUCUGAUGUAGACAGUGGGUAGUACUGUAAAAUAUUUCUCUUGAAUAAGAUCACGCAUUAAAAGAAAUCAUGUAAUCUUUUAUCUUUGCUAUUUCUAGCCAAAAGUACUGCUUUUGCACUUCCACAGCAUCUGCUAUUUGAAUACGUCAGUCAACUAAAUCUCAGAAUACUUGGAUAAAUCUUAAUCCAUUAAUGAAUGCAAAGUCCGGGUACAAAGAAGUAAUUUCUGCAGUAAUGACUAUCGAUGAGUAUGCAUUUCAAGAUGAUUACAUUCCAAGUACUUAAGAAAUAACCAUUUAAGAAAUAAACUCAUAAGAAAUAAAGUAAAUUUCAUUUGUUAUUUUUUGAGUAAUGAACCUGAGUAUUUAUUUAUGGGUUUAUUGUUCUGUGAAUCAGAUCACAACAAUCAGGGGAUACAGUUUUUAAUAUAAACAUGUUAUUUGUGUAUAUUAGAGGUCCAGACAUACAUUAUCAUUUCCUGAAAAUACUUCAAUCUCCCAGUCUUUAUGCAAAAGUGUGGCCCUUGGGCUCUGGGCAGGUUGUAGAUUAAAUUCUCAUUUGGCUAAAUCUGAUUACCCUGUAGGUUACUAAUAUUGCUUAGUGAUAGUGGAAGUUGAAAAUUGCAAACAGAAAAGUCCCUUUAAAAAGGGACCAGAAAGCGUCAGCUUCUAAGUAACAAAUUGGACUUUUGAACUAAAUUUUAUCACUAGGAAUUUUCAGUUAAACAUUCACAGUAGUUUCUACCAUUACUUUUAAAACUCUAAUAAAAUUGAGAAAUGUGUUUUAUUUCAAAAAGGUUAAGGUGUUCAGAUCCUGCAGGGCGCUGGAAUCACUUCAAACCAACCUUUAGUCGGUCUGCCUGUCAAUUCUCAUUUGACACUUCUUCCUACCCCUCUCAUAUUUUAUUGAAAUUAAUGCUCCAGUAGAUAAAUUCUUAGCAAAAGAAUUAACAACCCCCCCCAAGAUUCCCAGAACACAACCAUCUCUAAGUCAUUACAAACUAUCUAAAAUUAUUUGAAUAUUACCAAAACAUUGUUGCUUUAUUAUGCAUUUAUGGAUGAGACAGAUUAAAAAGACACAUGCUGACACUACUAAAUAUGAAAUAGUGCUGUUCCUUCUGACAGGAUUAGCUAAAUACUCAGAUGAUGAGAACACUCCUCAGCAUUUUUCCUUAUACUCAGAUAACGUGCAUUGAAAAGGCACUCUUUGAUCUAUUUCAGUAGCUCCAGUUACCGUACCAGGCCUUUGUAUACAUAAAAUUAUUUUCAGUAGUCUAUGGGUGCUCCUCUUCCUUGCUUUGAUGUAUAAAGGUUUUAUAAUCAAUAAUAAGUGAAAGCAGCUCACAUUACUACAACUGUUCUGAGUCAAGAAAAAAAUAUCAAAAUUAAUGUGACACUGGCAAAAAUGAUAUGGCCUUUGACUUCAGAAAGUGUAAUUAUCUUGGUAAAUGUAUGUGGUUUUGGUAAUGAGACUCAAAAUUUCAGAUGGAUUAUUUUUAAUAGCAUCUUUUCACGGUGGCUUUCUUCCAUAUUCUAAAUCAGAGCUCACCACUUACCUCAUAAACACAUGCCUUGCUCCUUCAGUAGGCUUUAGAUGAAGGAGCCCAGCAGGCCACACAGAACCUUAAUGAAGGAAAUGCCUUAAAGGCAUUAACUUCACCUACAAGCAUCUCAGAGUAGAAUCCCCGUCUGAUCUGUCUCAUGCUGAUCACCUUGUUUUCAGGUGACUGACAUAAGAGUACAUAUUCAGAAGUCAGUUUUGUAACUGUGCUUUUGUUACUGAAAACGUUCCCUGUUGCAUACUAAGGAGUAGCUCCAAUGAAACAGAGUAAAGAUUUAGAGUAGUUUCACAACUACUGUGAGUUGACUGAAGUGCGAUCCAAACCUUCCAUCUCAACUCCCCCAUCUCCCUGAUGCCACCAGUAGAAUUCUUCUAUCUGCAUGCUGAGGCAUGUUAAUUCAACUGACAUCUACCACUUUUUACUUGGAUUAGUCCUAGUAGUGAGUCAGUUUCCUCAUCGUGCUCAGCUGGCACACACAAAAGUGUUUGUGUUAAUAGAAGUGAGCAGCUCAGAUGGAAAUGUUUCUUUUGAUUGACCUCUACCCACUUAGAGUAUGUGAAACUACCUUGGGGACCUUAAGCACGGGCCGUAGGAACAUAUGGCUAUCAACCACCAGGCCACUGGGGUUCUGGUCUCUGCCUUUUGGAGAUACUUUCAUACAUUAUCCAGUCAUUUUCCCACAUUUUACAUUGAAAUUAUUUACUAAAAUGUGCGUUCACAUUGUGGUCAAAGCACAUAUGCUGUAACGUGAUUUAAUGUAAAGCCCUGAAGAAUUACAUUACAUAGCCACAGUAGUCUACUUCAAAACCAUACUUCCCUAAAUAAACAUAUCAUUUUCUCUUUUUAAUAAAUACAUACCUUUUACCUUUGAUGUAGUAAACAGCAUUCACAAAUAAUAUUCUCCUAGAGCCACUGUUUUUCCACCUCAAACACUAUUAAUAGGUAUGUUAAUUUACUAAUAACACACCUAUUAGAACCACAAUUCAGUGACCAUUUUAACCCCAAUGAUAUCAUCGCUGUAUGAAACACUGUGAUCCAUUAUGGUAUCAUUAAUAUUUAAUUUUCCAGAGGAAUCAUUAGUUCAUUAGUACCAACAAGCCAAUUUUUGCUCAAGCUGAAAAAGCUUAUCAAUAAAUCAUGCCAUGUUUAGAUAGGAAAAACGGGUCAAUGGCUACAGAACUCACAUUUCCAAAACCAGAACCUUCCCUACAACACAGCUUUGGGGAAAACAUGCUUCAUUUGACAACAUUCUUUUUAUAAAAAGAUCCUUUCAGUAGGUACUGCAUCAAAACAAUCAGUCCAUUGAACUGUAUGAUAAGACACUGAGAACAUUCAGAGUAUGGAACUUCUUUUAAAUUACAGAUACAUGGCAUAACAUUUUAAGACUUCACUUAUAUCAGCUUCCUCCCAACUGAGAUUACAUUCCUUGAGGCCAGACACCCUCCACCUCCCCCUAGCAAGUUUUUUCGAGUGCCUUAAGAAACUGGUGAGAAUAUCAUGUUCUUCUCCUCAUACAGCUGAGAACCAGUUUAAUUUUUUACCAAAAUUAAAUAUCUGGCAAUGCAUGUGUUUUAAUGCUCAGCAGCUAGAACCUUCAACAACCAAAGGUUAGAGGAACUCUUGUCCAAGGGAAUACAUUCCCUCAAAUGAAAAAAAAAUUAUCUAAGAAGACCCCAUCUAUUGCUUUAGUCAUUUAUCUGAAAUUUUAUCUUAAAAUUUCAUUAAAAAUAGAAAACAAUACUAUCUAAGGAGACCCCA